UGUGGAAUGGUCUUACAUCUCUUAAAUUGGUGUAAUGACUUCCAUGUUCGGUGUUAAUAUUCUUGUUGGAUCGGAUCAUGUUACGUAAGGUGUCAUCAUUGGAGCUAUACUUUUGUGACCACCUAUGUAGUCUAACCCGGGUGUUAAAACUUUGUUAUGGCAAUCAAAUGUUUGCCCAAGUGGGAGAAUGUUGGAAUAAUUAAUAAUUCCAUAUGUGGGCUUCACAUUCGAUUGCAAAAUUUUACGGGUUAGAUAUAUGGCUCAUAAUGAUAAUUGUGUUUGGGCCAAAUUUAUUAAGUGAUCAAUUGAACAUUUUACACCUUACGGGUUGUAAUUAAUUUGAUGUGGUAAUUUAAAGUAUGUGGGCCGGAAAUAAACCCUAAUUAGAAUUCUAGUCGUAAUGGGACGGCUCAAAUUAUUUCCUAUAUAU
rnacentral:lncRNA from 1 species